GGGAAACGGGAUGAGGGGCCAGCCCCCAGGCCCCCAAGCAAAAACAAAUCUAUGGGGCA
rfam:Callithrix jacchus chromosome 22, whole genome shotgun sequence